GUCUAUGGCCAUGACACUCUGAACAAACCCAUUCCCAUCUGAUCUCAGAAGCUAAGCAGUGUUGAGCCUGGUUAGUACUUGGAUGGAAGACCACCUAGGAAGACCAAGUGCUGUAGGUG
ensembl:rRNA 5S_rRNA 5S ribosomal RNA